GGGGGUGUUUGGUUUCGACGGGCAAAUUAGGACUUAUGGCCGCGUGUCGAGGAACUUUGGUUAACCUCGUUAAUCAUCCUUAGAAAAAACAUAGAUGCCGAUAACGGCUACGCUGUUGCUGCUUAAAUAGCAUGCAACUAUCUCGCAACGAAGGUGCUUGCCUUUUGUCGAUGAGGUAUAAUCUAUGCAAGCUGGCCACGUGCACCACCUGGAUGCAUACGGUGAGACUCUACAGGUUGGCCUAAUCAUAGUUGGACUAUUAACGAAGAUUAGGUGAGAUACAAAUAAUAGUCUACACAUGUAGACGCUGUUUGUACGGUUUGUUCGGACGGGAGUUCAAUUCUCCCCACCUCCACAA
rnacentral:tmRNA from 1 species